rnacentral:lncRNA from 1 species
UUAGACGAUUUCUGCAUUAUGAAAUAUGGGCAAUUUUGCCUAGUCUUAUUCUUUCCUGCCAAUAGAUAUAAGAAGAUGUGGUGUGAGUGCCAAUGAGACAAUUCUCCAUCCAAAUAACAAUAUAUAAAAGUAAACCAUUAUAAGUCAAUGUACGGCCUUUAACACGGAGCCCUGGUUCACACCGAACAAUGAGCUAUAAAUAUCCAUAUUUAGAUUGUUUUGCAAAUUAGAAUUAUAACGUGCUGUUUUCACUAUUUACGUACUUAAUGUUGUACAUGUAGUAGACGUUGAAGGUGGUCGUCUGAGAAAAUUUCUAACUUUAGUAAACAUGUAUAUAUGCUUAUAACUUCAUUAUAUUUAUUAACAUUAUAUAAAUAAGUUUAUUAUCACUGAACUAGUACAUAUUUGUUCAGCGGCCAGCUGAAGGACGCCUCCGGGUGCGAGAGUGACUGUCUCGCUGCAUUGAAGACCCAUUGGUGUACUUCGGCUGUUGUCUAUUCUAUGAUCGGGUUGUUGUCUCUUUGACACAUUCCCCAUUUCCAUUCUCAAUGUUAUGAAAAACAGCCGACGAGGCAAACAAAAAGUAAAAGGCACUAGGAGGGAAAUAUACAUGUACGAUGUUCAACAAAAGACAAGUGUCUAUUAUUUAAUAAAAUUGACAUUCGAGAUACGUUAUGCUCGUGCAUGUUUACACUAUACGGACUUGAUAUUCAGGAGUGUGCUCCUUACGCAAAAACUGCUCGAGGAAAGUUAUGAGGAGGAAAGAUUAAAAAUGACAUUUCAUACAUUUUAUGGACACCAUCACGAAUAUGUUGAUCCAAACGAUGUGUCUGUGUCUAAAUUACAAAGGACCUUUUUAACACUUCUUAGAUUGUGUUUUGCCAUUAACGUCGUCUGGUCUUUAAAGUACCGAACAUGACCUAUUCCCGAAUAUGAAUGUUUUGCUGAGUGUGAAUUCGCAUUGCUAUAAGACGUGUC